rnacentral:lncRNA from 1 species
GUCGAGCCAAGGAAAUUCAUUUACGGCUUGGGCUUAUGUUCAAAGUGAACACAGACUAUGAGUCUAGUUUAAAGGUUUGGGAACAUAGUUGAAGGGUUCUACAACUGAAAAGAUGCAUUUUCAGUUAGCUUUGGUUGACUGUAAUCCCUGCACUUUGUCCAAUG